CGGACGGGUGAGUAACACGUGGAUAACCUACCUAUAAGACUGGGAUAACUUCGGGAAACCGGAGCUAAUACCGGAUAAUAUAUUGAACCGCAUGGUUCAAUAGUGAAAGACGGUUUUGCUGUCACUUAUAGAUGGAUCCGCGCCGCAUUAGCUAGUUGGUAAGGUAACGGCUUACCAAGGCGACGAUGCGCAGCCGACCUGAGAGGGUGAUCGGCCACACUGGAACUGAGACACGGUCCAG
rnacentral:rRNA from 1 species